rnacentral:rRNA from 1 species
UACGUAGGUGGCAAGCGUUGUCCGGAAUUAUUGGGCGUAAAGCGCGCGCAGGCGGUCCCUUAAGUCUGAUGUGAAAGUCCACGGCUCAACCGUGGAGGGUCAUUGGAAACUGGGGGACUUGAGUACAGAAGAGGAAAGCGGAAUUCCACGUGGUAGCGGUGAAAUGCGUAGAGAUGUGGAGGAACACCAGUGGCGAAGGCGGCUUUCUGGUCUGUAACUGACGCUGGAGGCGCGAAAAGCGUGGGGAGCAAACAGG